CUUCCUGCUGGAGCAGGAGCACCACUCAUCAUUUCUCAGGUGUCUUCCCAUCCGCCAGCUAUCCACCCUCCUGGGAAAGGAUGUAAGAGCAUAAAGGGCUGGAGCAAUUAACCAUAGCUCUGGAGAACCAAAACCACCAUGGGUUUCUGUGGCUGUCUCCCUGUUCUGUAAGAACAAGGAAGGAUGAAUCAGGAAGCAGGACAGCCUCCUCAAUCAUGGGAUGGGGAGACACCAGAUGGAAACAGACCAGUGGAGAGGUGACCUGGAGGGACAGAGAGCUGAAUCCAUGAAAGCCAGGAAGCUCUGCCUGGCUUCCAACAGGAACUUGGAGAACAUCAAGGAACAAGAUGUUCCUGCAAGUCCUGUCAUAUUUCUCCACAGAGGCUGACCUGGGCCCUUUGCUCAGACCUACCAGCUCUGCCUCAUUGUUCUUUGUGUAGGUGAGUUGAGUUGCUCAGGAGUCCAGUAUGUGGGAUGUUCUUUCAGUGAGUUUCAUAGAAAGGAGCACAAGCCAGGGCUGUCCUGCCCUGAUUAUGAGCAGAGAGCUUUAUUAUGGAUGUUACAAAGACUGGGGAAAUAUGGCCAUAGGUCAGGAAAGGUUGGGUGAGUAUACAGCAGAAAAGGGCAAGCUCAAGACAGUUUGCACGGACUGCCACAGUUAUUUUGAGAUUUGGAGCAGGAAGAGCAGAAAGAUGGAUAAAGAACUUGGGGAAGAUGAGCCUGGGCCAGCUGCAGGGCAUCCCAGCAGGGAGGUUAGAAGAGCAGCAGAGGGAUCUUAUGGUAGGUAAUCUUUCAAACAGUGCAAAAUCUUUAGAAACAAUACAACAGUCGCUUUAUAUGAGGUGAUGUAUCUGGUUCUUUAGCCCUGGUGUUUACAUCUGGCCCUAAAACUCAAACUACUGCACAGUCUGAUGCUGAUGGCUUUAGGUGUCUUGAAAAUCUCAUAUAUCUUCUGCAGUAUAAUUGGUCUAAAACAUGUUUUCCUUGUUUUUCUGGCGCCAGCACCAGUCACAGCUCCAAGUUUUGUAACCUGCUUGUUUACACUGUUUCAAGCAAAUCAGAGUCAAGCCUCUGGAUGUUGUGGUGCCUUUCACCACAUUCUUCUUUCAGUCUUUUUUUUCCUGCCUUUCCCACCCCAUCCAUGACAGGGGAAGCACUGUUCUUUCCGUGCUCCUUGGUUCUGUGUUCGAAGCAGUCACAGAAAAAGUGACAAUUAGGAAAGAAAGAACCUUCAGUAUCUGCUUUGGCAGGCACAACACAUCCCACUGCUGGGCUGCAGCAAGGCAAAGCAGCUGCUUGCCUGGGUCAGAUGGAGAUUUCGCUGCCUUGUAUUGUUGGAUCUCCCCAGAGAGCCUGGUGCUCUGCCACGCUGCAGAGGCAGUGAAACCCCAACAUUGAAGUCAAGCCAUGCACGUUUAUAGCAGUCCUGCAAGGAGCAGGGAGUUGGACUUGUUGAUCCUUGUUAUUUUUCACUUUUAGGGUGCCGAGGCCCUGGCACAGGGUGCCCAGAGAAGCUCUGGCUGCCCCUGGAUCUCUGGAAGUGGCCAAGGCCAAGCUGGACAGAACUUGGAGGAACCUGGGAUGGUGGAAGGUGUCCCUGCCCUUGGCAGGGGGUUGGAACACAAAGAUCUUUGAGGUCUUUCCCAAAACCAUCUAGGAUCCUUCUGGGACCCUUCCAACCUGAGAUAUUCUAUGAUUUCAGGAUGCUCAACUGCAAUUCAGGAAACAAUAGUGAUUAGAAGCAAAUAAUGAGGUUAGGUGAGUUAAUAUUUGGGAGAUCAAGUAACCUGGGGCAAGGUAACAGACAUCAACUUCGUCCUUCCCACAUUAUUGUGCUCUCUAAAAAUGAUUUAAAGGUUGCUAAGCAAUGUCAAUGUUUUUCCCCCAAAACGGAAGGAGCAGAGCAGAAGUGAACGAGUUCACUGCAGUAGAACUGAACUUAUAUAAAAUCUAAAUAUAUAUGUAUAUAUAAAUAUAUAUAAACAUUGCUGCUGAAUAUUUCUGUUUCUUAAAGGCAGCUGAAAAAUCUAAUGAAAGCCAAGAUCCUUAUUUCAUGUCAUUUGAAGUCUUCUGGAUCAGCCAAGGUGGACCUGCAACCCCUUCUCCAGGUCUUGCCUGGCCCUGGUUCAGUGUCCAAGGCUGUUUCUAAAUGCUGCAUGAAGCCCCAUUUUCUUCCUUUUUCAGUCUGUGGAAAAUGAACCAAAAUCUCCAGCCCAGAUGAUAAAAAAGAAAAUCUUAUCAAAGCACAACUUUAUGAAGGGCAAGGCAGACAAAGAGAGUGGGAAGAAAGAGAAGAUAAUGUCCUAAGUCAUUAAACAAGCCUUAUUUUCUCACACCAUUGGUUCUCCCUCCUCAUUUUUACGAGGCAGCAACCAGCCCCUUGCUGUCAACACAUCACCUCUGUGUUUGGUGGGUGAAAAGGGGAGGGGUCUGGCUCUGAAGGUCCCUCUGGAGCUGUCUGCUAGUCCCUUCUGUGCCUGCUGGUCACCUCUCUCAUUUCCUCAAGACCUCGUUUCCUCUGGUGUCUCCAGAGCACCACAAGUCUAGAGAGGACUUAAAAUCACCAUUUUCAUUUUCAUACCACGAAAGGGAGAAUCUCCCAAGCAGAUUUUUGGGACCAUAGAAGUGUGGGAGUGACACAACAAAACAGCAGAUGCCAGAGGAUAAGAGAUGAGGACUUAAAAUCAUCCUGUUACGUCUCACAAGGACAGCAAAAGGAGACUGAGGUGCUCAGCAGAAAACUCCCAGUAGGACAGGAGCCAUCAGCACUUACUGGAGGUUUCACCUGCCUCCCCCAGGUGAGGAGCAGGCAGCACUGGAGACAUGGAAUCAUGUGGAGCUGGUGCUGCCAGCUCCCUGCAGCUCAUCCCUGCAUUUCACCCCUCCAGAUUUCCUAGUAUUUGUUCUCCUGUUCUGGGAAGAGUCGAGAGCUGCAAGAGGCCCAGCUCACAGGGAUGUUUAGAGAAAGGAAAGACCAUUGUGUGAAAGACUUUGGCAUUUCAGGGUUUGUUUUCCUUCUGACACAGAACAAAACACCAUGUCAAAAUCCUCAGCAGGGCAAAACACAACAACAACAACAACAACAACAACAACAACAACAACAACAACAAACCAACCACCAAAAAAACCAAACCAAACAAACCAAAAAUAUCAAGUAGUGACAUUUGGAAUGUGGCCUGUGGAAGUGUUUCUCUUCAUCUUUAAGCUUUUCGAUCUCAAGAUCUACUGUUGUAGCUAUUUCAGGAAAAUUUUAAAAAAGGGGGAAAAAGAAAGAAAUAAAAGGAAAUAAAAGCCACACUA